rnacentral:rRNA from 1 species
CCUACGGGGGGCUGCAGUGGGGAAUAUUGCACAAUGGGCGCAAGCCUGAUGCAGCCAUGCCGCGUGUGUGAAGAGGGCCUUCGGGUUGUAAAGCACUUUCAGCGGGGAGGAAGGCGGUGAGGUUAAUAACCUCAUCGAUUGACGUUACCCGCAGAAGAAGCACCGGCUAACUCCGUGCCAGCAGCCGCGGUAGUACGGAGGGUGCAAGCGUUAAUCGGAAUUACUGGGCGUAAAGCGCACGCAGGCGGUCUGUCAAGUCGGACGUGAAAUCCCCGGGCUCAACCUGGGAACUGCAUUCGAAACUGGCAGGCUAGAGUCUUGUAGAGGGGGGUAGAAUUCCAGGUGUAGCGGUGAAAUGCGUAGAGAUCUGGAGGAAUACCGGUGGCGAAGGCGGCCCCCUGGACAAAGACUGACGCUCAGGUGCGAAAGCGUGGGGAGCAAACAGCAUUAGAUACCCGAGUAGUC